AUUCCAUGAUAAGGGCACUUCCAUAAUAAUUCGUUGUACCUUUCUCAUGCCUCAUACAAUGACUCAUCAUCCAUUUGUUGGAAAGCAGUGAUCUCAUUCCUGAACUU
rfam:Gossypium raimondii Chr13_contig_646, whole genome shotgun sequence.